GGAAGAUUUUGGGGCAAGGCAUUGGAUCAUGUUCAAUGAAUGAACUUCAAGAGAUCGACAACCAGCUGGAGAGAAGCUUGAAGAUCAUCAGGGCGAGAAAGUCUCAAUUAUUCAAGGACGAAAUACAAUGGCUAAAAGAAAGGGAGAGACUAUUGCGUGAAGAAAAUGCAAGGUUAUCUGAAAAG